UAAUACGGAGGGUCCGAGCGUUGUCCGGAAUUAUUGGGUUUAAAGGGUACGUAGGCGGAUCAAUAAGUCAGAGCUGAAAUCCUACAGCUUAACUGUAGAACUGGCUUUGAAACUGUUGAUCUUGAGUAUGGUAGAGGCAGGCGGAAUUUAUGAUGUAGCGGUGAAAUGCAUAGAUAUCAUAAAGAACACCGAUAGCGAAGGCAGCUUGCUGGACCAUAACUGACGCUAAUGUACGAAAGUGUGGGUAGCGAACAGGAUUAGAUACCCUGGUAGUCCACACCGUAAACGAUGCUCACUCGUUGUUGGCGAUAGAUAGUCAGCGACCAAGCGAAAGCGUUAAGUGAGCCACCUGGGGAGUACGAUGGCAACAUUG
rnacentral:rRNA from 1 species